AUGAUUUAAACUUAUGAGUAAGGAGAAAAAUUGUUUGGGGAGAUGCCCAAAUCUUCACUGCUAAUGUAAGAUGAAUUUUUGAAUAGGUAAAAUUUGCCCUAAGGUGACCCACCUACUUUCUGGGAUGACUGGGAGUCAUGAUCUGCCUG